rnacentral:rRNA from 1 species
UGGAUGAUGUGGUUAAUUCGAUGCAACGCGAAAACUUACCCACCUUUGACAUGUACGGAACCUUUAGAGAUAGAGGGUGCUCGAAAGAGAGCUGUAACACAGGUGCUGCAUGGCUGUCGUCAGCUCGUGUCGUGAGAUGUUGGGUUAAGUCCCGCAACGAGCGCAACCCUUGUCAUUAGUUGCUACAUUCAGUUGGGCACUCUAAUGAGACUGCCGGUGACAAACCGGAGGAAGGUGGGGAUGACGUCAAGUCCUCAUGGCCCUUAUAGGUGGGGCUACACACGUCAUACAAUGGCCGGUACAGAGGGUAGCCAACCCGCGAGGGGGAGCCAAUCCCACAAAGCCGGUCGUAGUCCGGAUCGCAGUCUGCAACUCGACUGCGUGAAGUCGGAAUCGCUAGUAAUCGCGGAUCAGCAUGUCGCGGUGAAUACGUUCCCGGGUCUU